rnacentral:lncRNA from 1 species
GUUGCAGCCAAAUGCUGGGCUAUGAUUUUUGCCAUUGUGUAUAAUCCUGCCCCUCUACCUAGUGCGCCAAUCUGUUGCGGUCAACUCCCUCAUCGCUUGUCGUCGGAAAUGAGAACCUGCAAAACAACAUCCAUACUGAUCUGAGUUGUCUCCGACGGAGACCCUCCGAUGCAUAAGUCAAAGGGGGAGACUGGGCAACAAUAUUUUUGAAUGAGAAAGGUGGCAAAGCUCAGCUCGAAAGUAGCCUCUCGAUGCUAUUACCUUACCCCCUUUUUAUAGAGAAGAUAGUUGUAACC